rnacentral:tRNA from 1 species
GAAGAUGUAGUUGAAUAAAACAACAUUGACUUGUUAAGUCAGAGGUGAAAAAGGUCCGUCUUCG